GACGAACGCUGGCGGCGUGCCUAAUACAUGCAAGUAGAACGCUGAAGGAGGAGCUUGCUCUUCUUGGAUGAGUUGCGAACGGGUGAGUAACGCGUAGGUAACCUGCCUGGUAGCGGGGGAUAACUAUUGGAAACGAUAGCUAAUACCGCAUAAUAGUAGAUGUUGCAUGACAUUUGCUUAAAAGGUGCAAUUGCAUCACUACCAGAUGGACCUGCGUUGUAUUAGCUAGUUGGUGAGGUAACGGCUCACCAAGGCAACGAUACAUAGCCGACCUGAGAGGGUGAUCGGCCACACUGGGACUGAGACACGGCCCAGACUCCUACGGGAGGCAGCAGUAGGGAAUCUUCGGCAAUGGACGGAAGUCUGACCGAGCAACGCCGCGUGAGUGAAGAAGGGUUUCGGAUCGUAAAGCUCUGUUGUAAGAGAAGAACGAGUGUGAGAGUGGAAAGUUCACACUGUGACGGUAUCUUACCAGAAAGGGACGGCUAACUACGUG
rnacentral:rRNA from 1 species